UAAAAUUCUAUGAUGAGAAGAGUAACGUUAUUUGGCCAAUAUAGAAAGCACUUGGUUGAUGGAAAAGUGUUUGGCAAGUGACAUGAAGAUGAACUCUGAGAAUGAUGAUCAGUGAAAGCUGUUAUCACGGUAGGAACCGUUAUCUUCCCAGUUUUAAUCAAACGCAGAGAUCUAUUUGGUAUCAGAUAGAUGAAAUUGGGUGGUAACACGAGACAUCGUCCCUAAU
rnacentral:ncRNA from 1 species